GCUCAUGGCUCAGGAUGAACGCUGGCGGCGUGCCUAACACAUGCAAGUCGAGCGAAGCACUUUGCUUAGAUUCUUCGGAUGAAGAGGAUUGUGACUGAGCGGGCGGACGGGUGAGUAACGCGUGGGUAACCUGCCUCAUACAGGGGGAUAACAGUUAGAAAUGGCUGCUAAUACCGCAUAAGACCACAGCACCGCAUGGUGCGGGGGUAAAAACUCCGGUGGUAUGAGAUGGACCCG
rnacentral:rRNA from 1 species